GGAGGAAAAGAAACUAACAAGGAUUCCCCUAGUAACUGCGAGUGAAGAGGGAAAAGCUCAAAUUUAAAAUCUGAUAGUCUCUGGCUGUCCGAGUUGUAAUUUAGAGAAGUGUUACCCGUGCUGGACCGUGUAUAAGUCUCCUGGAAUGGAGCGUCAUAGAGGGUGAGAAUCCCGUCUUUGACACGGACUCCCAGUGCAUUGUGGUGCGCUCUCGAAGAGUCGAGUUGUUUGGGAAUGCAGCUCUAAAUGGGUGGUAAAUUCCAUCUAAAGCUAAAUAUUGGCGAGAGACCGAUAGCGAACAAGUACCGUGAGGGAAAGAUGAAAAGAACUUUGGAAAGAGAGUUAAACAGUACGUGAAAUUGCUGAAAGGGAAACGCUUGAAGUCAGUCGCGUUGGCUAGGGAUCAACCUUGCUUUAGUGAGGCGUACUUCCUAGUUGACGGGUCAGCAUCAGUUUCGAUCACUGGAAAAAGGCUUGGGGAAUGUGGCAUCUCCGGAUGUGUUAUAGCCCCUUGUCGUAUACAGUGGUUGGGACUGAGGAACUCAGCACGCCGCAAGGCCGGGUUUCGACCACGUUCGUGCUUAGGAUGCUGGCAUAAUGGCUUUAAGCGACCCGUCUUG
rnacentral:rRNA from 1 species